rnacentral:lncRNA from 1 species
CUGGUUCUAUCGAUGAAGAGACAGACGUAAGCUGGUGUAACAUCCUAAUAGUCACAUAUCGGAUGAAAAAAUAAUUUUGAUUUGGUAUAUAAUUAAGAGACCUCCACACUAGUUCACGCUAGUAAUAAUAACUGGGCUUAAAUAUUUUGGGUCCAACGAGUUAUUAUUGUUAGCGGGCCAGAUCGUUACAAUUGAUAUCAGAUGCGGGGCAUCUGUUAUUUUGUUUGGAUCUAACGAGGACGUCAAGGUCUAAGCUGGGAGAGUUUAUACAUAUAAAAGACUUCCACAUUAGUGCGGGUGUGAGUCGGAUAGGAGGAAUUCUACACUGUCAUACUUACACCAUAUCAUUAAUAACAAGCCAAUCACAUUUCUUCUUUUCAAACAAAAGUACAAUAAAAAUAUUUUUUUACAAUCAUGAUGGGACAUAUAUCCCUAAAAGGAGAUAUUUGAUUGGUUUGUUACGCCACGUCACCAAUAUACCCGUUGCAUUCUAGAAAUUUUCGUCGGAUAGACUUCCACACUAGUGCGGGUCGAAUCAUUACAGCUGAUUCAACUGAUUUCUUAAAAUAUUAUCUGAAUUUUUAAAUUUACAAAAUGUUAACUCAUCAACAGCACUAUUUAAAAACUUUAGUUUUUUGAGAAUAAAAA